rnacentral:rRNA from 1 species
GAUUAGUGGCGACGGGUGAGUAACACGUGGGCAAUCUGCCCUUCACUCUGGGACAAGCCCUGGAAACGGGGUCUAAUACCGGAUAACACUCUGUCCCGCAUGGGACGGGGUUAAAAGCUCCGGCGGUGAAGGAUGAGCCCGCGGCCUAUCAGCUUGUUGGUGGGGUAAUGGCCUACCAAGGCGACGACGGGUAGCCGGCCUGAGAGGGCGACCGGCCACACUGGGACUGAGACACGGCCCAGACUCCUACGGGAGGCAGCAGUGGGGAAUAUUGCACAAUGGGCGAAAGCCUGAUGCAGCGACGCCGCGUGAGGGAUGACGGCCUUCGGGUUGUAAACCUCUUUCAGCAGGGAAGAAGCGAAAGUGACGGUACCUGCAGAAGAAGCGCCGGCUAACUACGUGCCAGCAGCCGCGGUAAUACGUAGGGCGCAAGCGUUGUCCGGAAUUAUUGGGCGUAAAGAGCUCGUAGGCGGCUUGUCACGUCGGAUGUGAAAGCCCGGGGCUUAACCCCGGGUCUGCAUUCGAUACGGGCUAGCUAGAGUGUGGUAGGGGAGAUCGGAAUUCCUGGUGUAGCGGUGAAAUGCGCAGAUAUCAGGAGGAACACCGGUGGCGAAGGCGGAUCUCUGGGCCAUUACUGACGCUGAGGAGCGAAAGCGUGGGGAGCGAACAGGAUUAGAUACCCUGGUAGUCCACGCCGUAAACGUUGGGAACUAGGUGUUGGCGACAUUCCACGUCGUCGGUGCCGCAGCUAACGCAUUAAGUUCCCCGCCUGGGGAGUACGGCCGCAAGGCUAAACUCAAGGAAUUGACGGGGGCCCGCACAGCAGCGAGCAUGUGC